rnacentral:rRNA from 1 species
UGCAAGUCGAACGAGAACGGAUUAUAGCUUGCUAUAAUUGUCAGCUAAGUGGCGCACGGGUGAGUAAUGUAUAGGUAAUAUGCCUCUUACUAAGGGAUAACAAAUGGAAACGUUUGCUAAUACCUUAUACUCCUUAUUAACAGAAGUUAAUAAGGGAAAGAUUUAUUGGUAAGAGAUUAGCCUGUAUUGUAUCAGUUAGUUGGUGGGGUAAUGGCUUACCAAGACUAUGACACAUAACUGGUUUGAGAGGAUGAUCAGUCGCACUGGAACUGAGACACGGUCCAGACUCCUACGGGAGGCAGCAGUGGGGAAUAUUGCACAAUGGACGAAAGUCUGAUGCAGCAACGCCGCGUGGAGGAUGACACAUUUCGGUGCGUAAACUCCUUUUAUAUGAGAAGAUAAUGACGGUAUUAUAUGAAUAAGCACCGGCUAACUCCGUGCCAGCAGCCGCGGUAAUACGGGGGGUGCAAGCGUUACUCGGAAUCACUGGGCGUAAAGAGCAUGUAGGCGGAUUAAUAAGUUUGAAGUGAAAUCCUAUAGCUUAACUAUAGAACUGCUUUGAAAACUGUUAAUCUAGAAUGUGGGAGAGGUAGAUGGAAUUUCUGGUGUAGGGGUAAAAUCCGUAGAGAUCAGAAGGAAUACCGAUUGCGAAGGCGAUCUACUGGAACAUUAUUGACGCUGAGAUGCGAAAGCGUGGGGA